rnacentral:lncRNA from 1 species
UCAUCUAUGGCCAUGGAUUGAUCCAUCCUUCAAAUGGAGACGGAGUUGGUGGAUAAUGAGGAAACUUGCAACAAAAAUCGUCGGCAGAAAUUGGAGGAUAAACAAAGUGUCACGGAUGUGAAUGGAACCAUCGAUAAUGAUGAAACCAUGAAUACCACCCACUCAGUCCCUUAUCAGCUUUGCUAGUAGCACUUUCAGCAUUUGAGAAUGAAUCAAAUUGUUCAAUUGCAAAACAUAAGUUGACAAGUAGGAAAAUAAAAAUGAGAAAAGGAACAACGCAAUUUUUCUUGGGCAUGGUUGAUAGUGGUUAAGUUCUUAAAACUUUU